AGGCCUAACACAUGCAAGUCGAGCGGUAACAGGACUAGCUUGCUAGUUGCUGACGAGCGGCGGACGGGUGCGUAACACGUAGGAAUCUGCCCGGUAGUGGGGGAUAGCCCGGAGAAAUCCGGAUUAAUACCGCAUACGCCUUACGAGGGAAAGAAGGGGCCUCUUCGGAGCCUUUCGCUAUCGGAUGAGCCUGCGUCGGAUUAGCUAGUUGGUGGGGUAAAGGCCUACCAAGGCGACGAUCCGUAGCUGGUCUGAGAGGAUGAUCAGCCACACUGGGACUGAGACACGGCCCAGACUCCUACGGGAGGCAGCAGUGGGGAAUAUUGCA
rnacentral:rRNA from 1 species